GGUGGCUCAGUGGUAGAGCGCUUGCCUCGCAGGCAUGAGGUCCUGGGUUCGAUUCCUCAGCACCA
rnacentral:tRNA from 1 species